GACAGAGGGUGCAAACGUUGUUCGGAAUUACUGGGCGUAAAGCGCGUGUAGGCGGUUCGGAAAGUCGGAUGUGAAAGCCCUGGGCUUAACCCAGGAAGUGCACUCGAAACUCCCGAACUAGAGUCCUGGAGAGGAAGGCGGAAUUCUCGGUGUAGAGGUGAAAUUCGUAGAUAUCGAGAGGAACAUCGGUGGCGAAGGCGGCCUUCUGGACAGCGACUGACGCUGAGACGCGAAAGCGUGGGGAGUAAACAGG
rnacentral:rRNA from 1 species